UACGGGGGGGGCAAGCGUUGUUCGGAAUUACUGGGCGUAAAGGGCUCGUAGGCGGCCAACUAAGUCAGACGUGAAAUCCCUCGGCUUAACCGGGGAACUGCGUCUGAUACUGGUUGGCUUGAGUGUGGGAGAGGGAUGCGGAAUUCCAGGUGUAGCGGUGAAAUGCGUAGAUAUCUGGAGGAACACCGGUGGCGAAGGCGGCAUCCUGGACCAUUACUGACGCUGAGGCACGAAAGCCAGGGGAGCAAACGGG
rnacentral:rRNA from 1 species